rnacentral:rRNA from 1 species
UUACCGAGUUUACAACUCCCAAACCCCUGUGAACAUACCAAUUGUUGCCUCGGCGGAUCAGCCCGCUCCCGGUAAAACGGGACGGCCCGCCAGAGGACCCCUAAACUCUGUUUCUAUAUGUAACUUCUGAGUAAAACCAUAAAUAAAUCAAAACUUUCAACAACGGAUCUCUUGGUUCUGGCAUCGAUGAAGAACGCAGCAAAAUGCGAUAAGUAAUGUGAAUUGCAGAAUUCAGUGAAUCAUCGAAUCUUUGAACGCACAUUGCGCCCGCCAGUAUUCUGGCGGGCAUGCCUGUUCGAGCGUCAUUUCAACCCUCAAGCCCCCGGGUUUGGUGUUGGGGAUCGGCGAGCCCUUGCGGCAAGCCGGCCCCGAAAUCUAGUGGCGGUCUCGCUGCAGCUUCCAUUGCGUAGUAGUAAAACCCUCGCAACUGGUACGCGGCGCGGCCAAGCCGUUAAACCCCCAACUUCUGAAUGUUGACCUCGGAUCAGGUAGGAAUACCCGCUGAACUUAAGCAUAUCAAUAAGCGGAGGAAAAGAAACCAACAGGGAUUGCCCUAGUAACGGCGAGUGAAGCGGCAACAGCUCAAAUUUGAAAUCUGGCUCUCGGGCCCGAGUUGUAAUUUGUAGAGGAUACUUUUGAUGCGGUGCCUUCCGAGUUCCCUGGAACGGGACGCCAUAGAGGGUGAGAGCCCCGUCUGGUUGGAUGCCAAAUCUCUGUAAAGUUCCUUCGACGAGUCGAGUAGUUUGGGAAUGCUGCUCUAAAUGGGAGG